rnacentral:rRNA from 1 species
GACGAACGCUGGCGGCGUGCUUAACACAUGCAAGUCGAACGGUGAACCUCUUCGGAGGGGAUCAGUGGCGAACGGGUGAGUAACACGUGGGCAACCUGCCCCCGGCUCUGGGAUAACUCCAAGAAAUUGGGGCUAAUACCGGAUGUUCACCGCUUCCCGCAUGGGUGGUGGUGGAAAGGGUUUCCGGCUGGGGAUGGGCCCGCGGCCUAUCAGCUUGUUGGUGGGGUAGUGGCCUACCAAGGCGACGACGGGUAGCCGGCCUGAGAGGGUGACCGGCCACACUGGGACUGAGACACGGCCCAGACUCCUACGGGAGGCAGCAGUGGGGAAUAUUGCGCAAUGGGCGGAAGCCUGACGCAGCGACGCCGCGUGGGGGAUGACGGCCUUCGGGUUGUAAACCUCUAUCAGCAGGGACGAAGCGCAAGUGACGGUACCUGCAGAAGAAGCACCGGCCAACUACGUG